rnacentral:rRNA from 1 species
GACGAACGCUGCGCUGCAGGUUUACUUCAUGCGCUUCCCACCAGAACGCUCGGGCUACUGCCGGCGCAAAUACCGUGUCCGACCGGUGCCUAUCGCGUAAAUGACCUGCCCACACGGCGCCGGACAAUCACAGCAAACCGUGGCUAAUAAUGCACGUCGUCUGGACCCCUCCUGGGGACCGGAUGAAAGCUUGGGGUUACCCACCCACCUUUGAAUGGGUCUGACGUAGAUUAUCUCGUUGGUGAGGCGACUGCUCACCAUAGCGACCAUCCUUACCUGGUCGUGAGACGACGAUCUACCGCCCUGGACACAGAUACACUGCCCACACUCCUACUGGAGGCAGCACUGGGGAAUCUUGCACAAUGCCGGUCACCCCUGAUGCAGCCAUGCCGCGUGGAGGAAGACACCCCUAUCGGGAGUAAACUCCUUUUCUGAACAAAGAAACCCCUGAAGGUUCAGGGCGCGACCGUUAUUCGCGAAUAAGCACAAGCUACCUUCCUGGACCCAUCCUCUGUAAUACGAACGGUGCUAACGUUCUCCGGAAUCCCUGGGUGUAAACGGUGCGCACCGCCGGGCAGCGCGUCCGAUGUUAAACCCCAUGGACUUUCCAUGGAGCGUGUCUUCGACACUGUUGCUCAUGAUUCCCGCAUAGGCUGUCCGAAUUCCUGGUGUACCGGUGAACUGCGAACAUAUCACGAUGAACGCCUGAAGCAACAGCGUACCUCUUGACGGGUACUGACGCUCAUGCCCUACAUCAUCGGGAGCACACAUGAUUAUAUACCCUGGUACUCCACGCGUUACACGAUGAAUGCACGCCGUUGCCCCGCUCAAGGGGCAGUGGAUAAGCCUAUGCGUUAAGCGUUCCACCUGGGGAGUACGAUACGCAAGGUUGAAACUCAAAGGAAUUGACGGUGGGCCCGCACAAGCGGCGGAGCACGCGGUUCACAUUCGAUGCAACGCGAAGAACGUUACCUCGGUUCGAACGCUAGAGGACCGCUCCAGAAAGGGAGCUUCCCCUUAGUCGCGUAUAGCGAGGUAGUCCAGGGCUGUCGUCAGCUUGUGUCGUGAGAAAGAGGAGUUAAGUCCCGCAAGGAGCGUAACCCCCGCUGCGUAGUUACCAUCGUGGUAGUGCAGGGGACUCUAGCGAAAUCGCCUGCGCAAGCUGUGAGGAAGGUGGGGACGAGGUUCAUGUCUUCCUGGUCGGUACACGUACGGGUCGCACACAGUGUUACAACGGUCGCUACAACGGGUAGCCACCUCGCGAGAGGGAGAGUAUCCCGGAGAAACCGUGUCCCAGGUUGGGAUGGAAGUCCGCAACUCGACUCCAUGCACACGCAGGAAUCUCUAGUAAUAGCGGAUCAGCAAUGCACGCGGUGAAUCCGUUCCCGGGCGCUGUACACCCCGCCAUUCAAGCCAUAGAAGCCGAUAGCACCCGAAGUCCGCGACUCAAGUCGGCCGAGGGGUCUGAGAGAGAGCGGCCGAAGGUGCGCUCAGUGAAGGGGGCGU